rnacentral:rRNA from 1 species
UACGUAGGGUGCGAGCGUUAAUCGGAAUUACUGGGCGUAAAGCGUGCGCAGGCGGUUCGACAAGUCCGAUGUGAAAGCCCCGGGCUCAACCUGGGAAUGGCAUUGGAAACUGGCGAGCUUGAGUGUGGCAGAGGGGGGUGGAAUUCCGCGUGUAGCAGUGAAAUGCGUAGAGAUGCGGAGGAACACCGAUGGCGAAGGCAGCCCCCUGGGCUGACACUGACGCUGAGGCGCGAAAGCGUGGGGAGCAAACAGG